CCUACGGGAGGCAGCAGUGGGGAAUAUUGGACAAUGGGGGGAACCCUGAUCCAGCCAUGCCGCGUGUGUGAAGAAGGCCCUCGGGUUGUAAAGCACUUUCAGUGAGGAAGAACGCCUGUUGGUUAAUACCCAUCAGGAAAGACAUCACUCACAGAAGAAGCACCGGCUAACUCCGUGCCAGCAGCCGCGGUAAUACGGAGGGUGCGAGCGUUAAUCGGAAUUACUGGGCGUAAAGCGCGCGUAGGUGGCUUGAUAAGCCGGUUGUGAAAGCCCCGGGCUCAACCUGGGAACGGCAUCCGGAACUGUCAAGCUAGAGUGCAGGAGAGGAAGGUAGAAUUCCCGGUGUAGCGGUGAAAUGCGUAGAGAUCGGGAGGAAUACCAGUGGCGAAGGCGGCCUUCUGGACUGACACUGACACUGAGGUGCGAAAGCGUGGGUAGCAAACAGGAUUAGAUACCCUAGUAGUC
rnacentral:rRNA from 1 species